GACGAACGCUGGCGGCGUGCUUAACACAUGCAAGUCGAACGGAAAGGCUCUGCUUUUGUGGGGGGCUCGAGUGGCGAACGGGUGAGUAACACGUGAGUAACCUGCCCUUGACUUUGGGAUAACUUCAGGAAACUGGGGCUAAUACCGGAUAGGAGCUCCUGCUGCAUGGUGGGGGUUGGAAAGUUUCGGCGGGUGGGGAUGGACUCGCGGCUUAUCAGCUUGGUGGUGGGGGAGUGGCUUACCAAGGCUUUGACGGGUAGCCGGCCUGAGAGGGUGACCGGCCACAUUGGGACUGAGAUACGGCCCAGACUCCUACGGGAGGCAGCAGUGGGGAAUAUUGCACGAUGGGCGGAAGCCUGAUGCAGCAACGCCGCGUGCGGGAUGACGGCCUUCGGGUUGUAAACCGCUUUCGCCUGUGACGAAGCGUGAGUGACGGUAAUGGGUAAAGAAGCACCGGCUAACUACGUG
rnacentral:rRNA from 1 species